GACGAACUGUCCUAACGUUGUUCGGAAUCACUGGGCUUAAAGGGCGCGUAGGCGGUCGAUCAAGUCAGGGGUGAAAUCCCACAGCUUAACUGUAGAAGUGCCUUUGAUACUGGUUGUCUUGAGGGAGGUAGGGUGUGUGGAACUCACAGUGGAGCGGUGAAAUGCGUUGAUAUUGUGAGGAACGCCGGAGGCGAAAGCGACGCACUGGACCUCUUCUGACGCUGAGGCGCGAAAGCUAGGGGAGCGAAUGGG
rnacentral:rRNA from 1 species